rnacentral:rRNA from 1 species
GAUGAACGCUGGCGGCGUGCUUAACACAUGCAAGUCGAACGAAGCACUUUAUUUGAUUUCCUUCGGGACUGAUUAUUUUGUGACUGAGUGGCGGACGGGUGAGUAACGCGUGGGUAACCUGCCUUGUACAGGGGGAUAACAGUUGGAAACGGCUGCUAAUACCGCAUAAGCGCACAGCAUCGCAUGAUGCAGUGUGAAAAACUCCGGUGGUAUAAGAUGGACCCGCGUUGGAUUAGCUAGUUGGUGAGGUAAUGGCCCACCAAGGCGACGAUCCAUAGCCGACCUGAGAGGGUGACCGGCCACAUUGGGACUGAGACACGGCCCAAACUCCUACGGGAAGCAGCAGUGGGGAAUAUUGCACAAUGGGCGAAAGCCUGAUGCAGCGACGCCGCGUGAGCGAAGAAGUAUUUCGGUAUGUAAAGCUCUAUCAGCAGGGAAGAUAAUGACGGUACCUGACUAAGAAGCACCGGCUAAAUACGUG